UACGUAGGGUCCGAGCGUUGUCCGGAAUUACUGGGCGUAAAGAGCUCGUAGGUGGUUUGUCGCGUUGUUCGUGAAAACUCACAGCUCAACUGUGGGCGUGCGGGCGAUACGGGCAGACUUGAGUACUGCAGGGGAGACUGGAAUUCCUGGUGUAGCGGUGGAAUGCGCAGAUAUCAGGAGGAACACCGGUGGCGAAGGCGGGGCUCUGGGCAGUAACUGACGCUGAGGAGCGAAAGCGUGGGGAGCGAACAGG
rnacentral:rRNA from 1 species